ncrna:unclassified sequences L13-Bacteroidia ribosomal protein leader
GGGGGCACACUUAGAGCCCCCUGUGCUGGUGUGUUAAUAGUGACUCUUUUGGCCGAGAGCCAUGGUUAGUGAAUC